rnacentral:lncRNA from 1 species
UUGGGGUUUUUUAAGUACGUUUCAGGUUCGGAGGAUUCCCUACAGUAUGCAAUAGGCUCAGGCAUCCACUGCGUGGAUGAGCAUGGGGAAAAGGAUCUGUCUUUUCUCUUUCUUCCCUUUUCCACUGCAGGAGAGAAGUGACAAGUCUUUUCCCAAACAAGUCCCUGUUCCUCCUCUACCCUCCACCUCGCUUUACCAGGAUCACAAGAUGAGGCUUUUGAGAAACUGCCAAGCGCAGAGCUCUCCAUGUGGCUGAAAAUCGGAUGCCAAUAUUAGCCCCCUUUUAUCCCCACUCAGGCAUAUGCACACUCUUGGCAGGGCUGUAGCUCCUAGACCCAAACAAGACAGCUGCUUCCCCGGGAAAGCCUUUGCCUAAUUCUGCUAGGCUUUCUUGGAGGGGAACUUUUGAGCAUUCAUUAACCGGGCAUCCUGGCUUUGCUGACUUCUCAAGGUGGUCCGGGCACGCGGACCGGGCAUUUUGUCAGCAGUGCCACUGCUAUUCACGGAGAACGCAAGGGGACAUAACUUUUUCUGUUUAAUUAGUGUCGACUAAGUGUUCACAUCUGAAAUGGGGAAAGGGCAAAUGCUUUUGACAGCCUGGAGGGAUCAGGAUUAGGGAAGGAAGGGAAAGGAUCAAGUAAAAGGUGAUUCUGCUUAUACAUGCGGUAUAAGCAGCUGUUUCAUCAUUGCCAUGAAAAUGUUGAGUCAGUGCUGCAAGAAGCAACUCGUGAGCCUUUGACUAUGACUUACAUUCAUGUAGUCACAAGCUUUCCUGGGGUGCUCUGGAACCUGUCUUAAUGAUCUACUUUGCUAAACCUUUCUUCUCUUGCAUGAGAUGCAUCUCCUCUUUCCUGUAGAUAGUCAGCAAAAUGCAUUUGGAAACAGUCUUUUUCUCUUGCAUUGGCAGAACCCAGCUUGAGAGCAGUACCGAGUGGCAGUACCUGCUAUCAUUUAUAGAGCCCCUCAAGGGGGUUGGCUACUUAAAAGUAUAUCGAUGUGGCACGGUGCAGUGUCACGAAGAGAUACUCAAGGCAACUCUGAACAAGAACUUUGCCAAAGAAUUUGUGAUCAGCGACCACAAAGAGCUGGAUGAAGACUACAUCAAGAACGAGCUGAAGAAAGCAGGGGGUGCUAAUUAUGAUGCACAGACUGAGUAG